rnacentral:lncRNA from 1 species
UGUGGGAAUUCAGAAUGUUUUAUUUCGCCAGGCAAAUGAUUUCUUCGAUAUCUAAGGAAAUGUCAGUGUGAAAACUACAUUUAGUUCUUCUGACAGAGUAAACAUUCACCAAAAUGACAGUUUCAUCAUGCCAAAAUCUACCUACACUUUGGAGGGAAAAAGUGCAUUUUUAGGACAUUUUAUAUACAAUGCAAAUGGAAAACACGUUAAACCGUUACAUUGUCAAACAACAUAAACCAAAACCAAUCAACCAACAAUGUUCAGGAUACAUUGACAGACUUUUUGGUAAGAAAAAUUUCUUGACAUUUGGCAAAGUUGUGUUCAAGAGGACAUUCCGUAGUUUUAAAACAAAAGUAAGAAAAGUAUACAGAAUUCAACAUUGUUCAAAAUAGAAGGCAUUAAAUAGCACAGAUAAUAUAAAACUAAACACCAGCACUGUCUGUCAGUUUGGGUCUAUGUGCAGCAGGGGAACUGUGAUUCUACAACAAUUGUACUUUUAACUCCAUAUGGUGAACAGAACCACAAACACAGAGGCAACUUUGGCUCUACGUUGACCUACGCUGCUAUUUGUACAUGUAGAGGAGAAAGUGUCACCUUUUAAGCACAGAAGCCAUUUAUAUAAUAAAUUGCUGUAGAGAUUUAAAAUCAUAUACAUUUGGAACAAUAGCUCCUAAUAAAUAUCAUUUGCAUUGUACAUGUUAAUGAUUACUUUUGCAAUACGGAUGCCUCCUCUUAGAAUGCUGAAAUUUAUCACCACUUAGAUAAUAAAUUAUGUUCUUAGAUUCUAAUCAACGGCCACAUUCUUUUGACCAAUAUCUUAGUUUUUUGUGUGUAUAUUUUUUGAAACUGGGAUUAAACACAGGGCCCUUUCUUACUAAGCAUGGACUCUAACCACUGAUCUACAUUCCUAGCUGAGAUUUUAGUUCUUGGGCUUUUACACCUCAAUGUUCAAAAAGGUGAAAUAGCUGUCUGAAAUUUCAUAUUUCUUCAUGAAUUACUAACUAGAAAUAAAAUUUUUGUACUAGAUUUUCAACAGACAAAUGGUGCAAUUUUUGUUUUGACCUAGAAACAAAAAUGAAGAAGCAAAAGUUGUAUUUUUAAAAGAAAUAUUAAAAUGUGAGGAAAUUUCUCCCAUUUC